UACGUAGGGGGCUAGCGUUGUCCGGAAUCAUUGGGCGUAAAGAGCGUGUAGGCGGUCCGGUACGUCCGCUGUGAAAGUCGGGGGCUCAACCCUCGAAUGCCGGUGGAUACUGUCGGGCUAGAGUGCGGAAGAGGCGAGUGGAAUUCCUGGUGUAGCGGUGAAAUGCGCAGAUAUCAGGAGGAACACCUAUUGCGAAGGCAGCUCGCUGGGACGUAACUGACGCUGAGACGCGAAAGCGUGGGGAGCGAACCGG
rnacentral:rRNA from 1 species